CGAGGUAACCUGCGGAAGGAUCAUUAA
rnacentral:rRNA from 1 species